UACGUAGGGGCCUAGCGUUGUCCGGAUUUAUUGGGCGUAAAGAGCUCGUAGGCGGUUUGGUAAGUCGGGUGUGAAAUCUCCACGCUCAACGUGGAGGGGCCACCCGAUACUGCCAUGACUGGAGUCCGGUAGGGGAGUGUGGAAUUCCCGGUGUAGCGGUGAAAUGCGCAGAUAUCAGGAGGAACACCAAUGGCGAAGGCAGCUCGCUGGGACGGUACUGACGCUGAGACGCGAAAGCGUGGGGAGCAAACAGG
rnacentral:rRNA from 1 species